GCGGGUGCUCAGGCAGCACAGCAGGGAGGAGAGCGCCUGGGCCAGAUCGCCGCCAUCGCCAUACUCGCACUCACCGGAGUGGUGCGUGCGAAAAUUGGCCGCCGGGCAAUUACGCGUUGACUCCAGACGGGUGAGCGGAUCGUCGUUUGGGCGAUUAGACCUUCGUGCCACCGAAAUCGCGAGCUGCAAGAAGAAUCCGCGGUCAGUUCGUCGAGCUCUGCGGGCGCCAUCAUCUCGGGUUCCUCACCGGCGAGGUAAACCCGUUUUCCCCAUCGCUUUUAGCUCUGCCCAAUCGCAAUCGUAUUCUGCGCGUGCCCGGGCGAUCGUCGGGGCCUUGCUGCUCGUCGGCGGGCGGAGCGGUAGUGAGGAGCUCGGGAUCCGCCGUGGUGUGAUUGGCGUGUUUGACGGGGUUGCGCCUCAAGCCUGUGUGCUGCUUGCUUAUUCGGGAACGCCGCUCGCGUGUGUGGUCACCGCUGGACAGACAAGGGUAUGGGCGACUGGGAAUUCGCCGUCGAGCUUCAACCAACCCUUCGUUUUGCCCUACGCCGUGGCCAGUGACCUCUGCUACCUUCCAGCGCGGGUAAGACAGUGGCCCGACUCCCAUUUCUUUCCAGGUUGCGAUAGAACCUAUUAAUUUUCAGUUCAGAAGCUCUGGGGCGUCGGUAGUGGAUCACCGGAGGGGUGGGUGCUCCGCCGUGUGUCGAUGGUGGCCGCCGGCGUGACGUCAUGUGGUGAAGACGAGCGUCGGUCGUUGAUCCUUGAUUGGACAGCGGCGAUUAGAAACAGAGUGCCGGUCCGGCCGGAUGUGGCGUAGGCCGUUCGAUCCCGAUCGAUCGGACGUGAGUGGGAUUAGGUAUUUAAAUCUGGAACGUCCAAGUUAAAUCGAAAGGCUUAGAUUGCGUACCGGUUCGCAGGGUAGUAGAUUUAAUCUGGGCCGUUCACGCUUGAUCGGACGACUGAAGACUUGUGAUACCCUUUCAGAUCGCGACUUUACGAAUAGGACCCUAUGUUUUAGGGAAACAAACCCGCAGUCCACAACAGAGGAGUUAUGAGUCAUAGGCAUUCUUGCGCAAAAGACCUUGUACUUUCCUGCAUUUGUUGCGCAGUCCAGAGACUAAGGAAAACCAUAUAAAUAAUGUCUGAAAUUGGUAUUUAACACAAAAAUAAUUCCUAGAACUUGUUUAAAUCCUAGAAAAUUCAUACUAGGUCCAAAUUAAUCCAUUCUAGUUUAUAAAAUUUUAUAAUAUUAUUGUUUAUCAUCUAGUACCACUGUUUUCACAUUAAAGUCAUAUUAGAAUUUAUAUCUUAUUAAAUCUUAUACAAAAUACAUAGAAUCUUUAGAAAUUCAUAACUCCUCCGUUUUGACUCCGAAUUGACUCGUUUCAGUUGCGUUAGUCUCGUAUGAAUAUUUACUACGCAGUAACAAUAUUUAUUAUACCAUGUCUCAUACUUUUAUAAUUAGAUAUUUAUUUAUCCUAUGUUAAUUGGAUUAAUCUAUGUCUAUUGGCUUAACUUCUGAUCUUAUGGUUAUAAUUUGACUAGAUGAUCUUUAAUCAAAUAAUGACUUAAAUUAAAGUUGAGAUAAUUAUUUAUAGAAUAACAUCCCAUAUGCUUUACAUUAACCGAUUUAUAAUAUAGUUUGACAUUUAAAUCACAUAGAUCUUUUAUAAACCAUAACUCCUUAACCAUGACUCCGAUCUUAGUAGUUCUCGAUCCACGAUCUCGUAGUAUCGCGUAGAUUAUUAUUACGUAGUUUAUUCUUAUGUUUGGUGUAAUGUUAAUUUUGUCUAUACACUGUUUGUUUGUAUUGCUGCGACUAGCGGUGAGGUCACGAGGAUCUGAAGAAUCACUCUGGUAACUGGAAUCUCAAGUGCCAGGCAAGUUGUGCCCUUG
rnacentral:lncRNA from 1 species